AUCAUCUUGGCGCAGAUGCACCCAGAGAGUAUGUCAAGAGGUGUAUUAUGAUUAUUUCACCCAUACAAGACGUCAAAAAGAUUUUUCACCACCAGGAACCAACAAAAGCAUUUCAUCAGAAAUACACACAAAAAACAGAGUGUUCCUUUCUUAUUCUGCAGUGAUGCAUCAUGGGAGUAUGGAUCAGUGUACAAGAACAUAGCUAUGAGUCCAUGAUGUUUUAUUUAUGACAGCAAAUACAGUCAAUCCCUUGUGGAUUGACUCUGUGGGCCUGUGGCCAGAUUGUAGCUGAUCGUGCGAUGAGAGUGCAGAGAAACGCUGUGCAGUGAAAGACGCGCCGCGUGUGUUAACGUGAUAGCAUCAGGCCGUGCAAACUUGAGUUGAGGGUGUCACAUGAUCAAUACCAGGUGCAGAGCAGGAGACACUAAUCAAUGAGUCGUGAUCAUGAAGUCGAGGCGGCUUAUGAUCGUUAGGCGGUCGCUAAUGUGCUGAGAAUGGCGCGGUUGCUAAUGAGUCCGCUUGAAAACACACACAGCACAGCAAGUGCAGAACAAGAUGACGCAUUGCUUUGAAAUGCAGAUCGCAUGCAGCAUCUGUGUCACCGAAUGUUAAACACCACUUUGUUUGUGUGAUGCUUGUGCAACAGCUGCAAACCAACCUUUGAUUGGCUUACAGGCCAGGCCUGCAGACAUUUGUGUGAGUAUAUACUUCUGACGAUUAAAUAAGCUUUGCUUGCUCACGUGAAACUGUGAAUUGUACUGUGUGAUGCAUUCCAAUGUAAACUGCAUGCAUGUUCAAAAUAAAUUAAACCAUCACCAUCGGAAAUACUUCCUUCAACACCAAAAUUGGCUCACAAGACAAAGUGGCGCAAAAGUUACCAACUUCAUGUGAAAGAAUCUGAACUAUCCCUUUAAUACAACCAACCUCAUGGUGCAUUUGAAGGUCCCUCAAACAACCAACGAUGUUUGAAAUGCAAAUUGUGAUAAAUUCCCUCGGGAUGGAAAAAAAUCAUUGACUACAACAGCCCUACUUUUGCUGCCUUAUGUUCUCUGAGUAAUCGCUUCAUCAAACCUUUUCUAACAUUCCUCUCUACAAAAUACAUCAUAAAGUGGGAUUUGCUGGUGACCAGUCCAGGGUAUACCCUGCCUCUCGCCUGAAGUCAGCUGGGAUAGGCUUCAGCAUGCCCCCAUGACUUUAAUGAGGAUAAGCGGCAUAGAAGAUGGGUGGACAAUGGUGGCUUGGAGUCAAAAAUGUAUAAGAUGUUAUUUGCCCAAGUCAAGCCCUGCUUACAGGUACACAGGCAUCUUUUCAGCCUCCCACCAGGCCUUUAACCACUGUGGGCAGACAUCCAGCACUGGCAGUGAGAAGAGGCGCAGGAGUGCCGUGAAGCACCAAUAGGAAGUGAGCUGAAACUGGGUUCUGCGUGGCCAGGAGGGAGAUGUCUGGUCACAUCGCAUAUAAAUCACCUGUUCACAGAUGCGCAAAGCUCUGUUUGGCCAGAGUGACGUCCUCAGAGGAGUUGUGAAGAUACACACAGUAUGCACCGGCUAGAUAAGUGGAGGAAGCACAACAGUGAGCUGGAUGCAGAUACCACUAGUGCUUACUUUUACUCCAAAUAUGAGCCUGGGACAAGAGACUGUUUUUAAAUUCAGGUUGUUUUCAAUCAUACA